CUUUCCCGCCUCUGCCCUUGCCCCAGCCUCUGGAGACCACCCAGCGCCCCCGCACAGUGCUGAGAUCCCUCCCUGCAAAGUUUGACGAUUCCACGGCCCACAAGUUCUUCUUCAGGGACUGGGGAGUCCAGCCCCGAAUCCGGCAAGGCGACCUCCACGAUGGAGUCUACAGCCGGCCGCUGGCCAAGUGUGAAAGCCAAACCACCACACACAGCACGUUCCGGCCCCAGAGAGCAAAGAAGGUGAAGAACUACAAACCGGAGCCGAACCCCAUCCAAGCGCAGGGAGAGCAGGAUUUCUCCACCGUCCACAGGGAGUCCUACAGGCCAGUCCCGCUCCCUCCUGUCGUUUGCAAAUGUACUUGAUCCAGCAACAGCAGCAAGGAAGAGAAACAGCGAAUUCUCUCGUGCCCAUCAAAGCCUGAUGUGCGGUGUGGAUCCAGGUCCUUCACCACAAAGCCAAUAGGCAACUACUAGACAAUCUGAUGGACUGGUGUUGGUGCAUCUUCAGAACAUGAAAAUGGCAUAAUCUAAAAUCUGAGCGAGCGUGUCUGCACUGCAGAGGUGAUUGCCACACACACGAACACCUGCGGUCACGGUCAUCUAGCUAGCAUGGCUAACAACAACAACGCUGCAGCUGCACAGCACAGGUAUACUAGUAGGAAUGAAGGGUUCUAGCGGCUCGUAUGCCCUCCACGUCUUCGCUGCCUUUUAGCCAAGCUAGCGAGACUAAAGCUGGUGCAAGGAAGUGCUCUCCGAUCAGAGCAGAGACAGCUACCCUUGACAUAGCUGUUGUGCAUGGAUGUGGUAUUUGUGUAACACACAACCAAACAAAUGUAACAGCUGUUGAAAUGAUACAAUAAUGGUAACUAAGUUUCAUUGUACUUCCUGUUUAAGUAUUCUGUAGAAAUCUUACAUAAUAUCUUCUAGUAUUUUAACACAACCUUUGCGUUGUAUUUUAAAGAUAAUCGACUGCUUGCACUCAGUGUUAGCACUUCAGUGGUCUGAUUGGAUGGAUAUGCACUCCUCAGAAAAAGGAAAAGUUGGGAACACAACUUUUCUCUCUAUGCGAACAACCCCAACCAGCCACUUUCUAGCAAGGCUGGAGUAACAGAGGAGCUGGAGUAACAAGGCUGACUUAUCAGAGAAACUAGCUGUCAAAAACACAAAGUAUGUUCACAUACAUGUAUCAAGAGGGGGAAAAUCUACAACUUACAUUGACUUCAAAAUCCUAGAGUUAAUGUUUUUUAUCCUCAUCAACUCAAACAUAAUGGUCCCUGCAAUGAAAGACUAAGAUUGUCUCUCCCCCUUGCAUAUGCUUAUGCUAAUGUGUAUUUGUGUGGGGGCUGGGGU